rnacentral:rRNA from 1 species
AGCCUAUAGAGGGUGUAUUAUAGGUGUAGUCUGCCCAAUGAUAGAGUUGAAUGGCCGCAGUACUUUGACUGUGCUAAGGUAGCAUAAUAAAUUGACCUUUAAAUGGGGCCUAGGAUAAAAGGAAUAAUGGAAAAUUUCUGUCUUUUUUAGGAUAAAAAUAAUUUACUUAGUGGGUGAAAAUUCCCACAAUUUUACAUUAGACGAGAAGACCCUAAGAAUUAUUACUAAGCAGAACUUACUGUUGUUUAUGUUUUUGUUGGGGCAACAAUGUUGGAAUAUAAGUAACCAAUAAAACUUUAAUUAUAUAAAUCAAUUUUAAUUAAUAAAAAUUUAAUUACCUUAGGGAUAACAGCAUAAUUAAUAUUUUAGAUUGUGACCUCGAUGUUGGAUUAGGAAGUUUAAUUAUUAGCCGUAAUUAAAACUAGUUCUGUUCGAACUUUUUUUCCUU